AAUGAUUGAUAGGGACGGUUGUGGGUGCUAGUAUUCAGCCGGCAGAGGUGUUAUUCUCAGAUCCGCUAAGACUAACUUAUGCGAAAGCUUUCACCAAGGAUGUCUUCUUUAAUCAAGAACAAAAGUUUGGGGUUGAAAACGAUCAGAUACCGUCGUAGUCUCAACCAUAAACUAUGCCAGUAGAGAUGUGAGUCGUUGCAUUUUCGACUUCAUUCGCUCCUUUUGUGUGUUCAUAGCAAUUGGGUUCUUGGGGGAGUAUGGUCAACAGGCUGAAACUGAAGGGAUUUAUUGGAAGGGCACCACCAGGAAUGCAUCCUGCGGCUUAAUUUGACUCAACACGGGAAAACUUACCAGGUCCAGACACAGUAAGGAUUGACAGAUUGAAGAUCUUUCUUGAUUCUGUGGGUGGUGGUGCAUGGCCGUUCUUAGUUGGUGGAGUGAUUUGACUCGUUAAUUCCCUUAAGCAACGAGA
rnacentral:rRNA from 1 species